GUCAUAAUACUUUUAGACCUGUUUUUGGGAUGUUUUGUGGGAAAAUUUUUCAAUAUAUGUUCAUCUUGUAUGUUCUGGUUUUGUUGUCAUUCCUAGCUUGUCGAGCCAACAUUUUCCUUCUGUUGUGUCACCCAUGCACAACUUAACAAUUUCGUAAAGCUUUUUUGUACAGCUUUUUAUACGUUACCAAUCAGACCCAAAAAUAAAAUUGGUGAAAAAUCGAUUGGCCAGAUGUGGGGGACACAACGCUUUAGGAUAACAAGAUUUGAGAUCUACGACGUCAAAACGAUUUAGAAAAUAAAUGUAUUAUGACCUUCAAAUUGCUUAAUGAAAACGACAAUGCACAAAAGAAACAAUAAAGUGGAAGAGAAGUGAAGAGAGAGGAGGAGGACCAACGAUGUCAUGCUUUAGUUGCUUACGUUGGCUUCAGGUGCAAGACGCAUGAAGUCCUCAUGAAAAAAAAAGUGGCUCCGCUAGCUAUUAUGGCUUAUCCAUAGUGUUCGGUGUUUUAAUAAAAAUAUAUAUCCCUGUUUUUUUUUUUUCUAUUAGCCA